AGACCGGCGCGUGAGGAACCUACCGGUACCGGCCGCGCGCUGGUAGUCGCCGGUGUGGCUGCACCUCACCAAUCCCGUGCGCCGCGGCUGGGCCGUCGGAGAGUGCGUGUGCUUCUCUCCUGCACGCGGUGCUUGGGCUCGGCCAGGCGGGGUCCGCCGCCAGGGUUUGAGGAUGGGGGAGUAGCUACAGGAAGCGACCCCGCGAUGGCAAGAGAAAUUUUCAAGAAGAGCAGAUAAAUACCAGAGAUGCAAAAGCAAUCGCUGCCUUAAUAAGUGAAAAAUUGGAAACUCUCCGAAAUCAAGGCAAGAGGAAUAAGGAUGAACUUUGAUAAUGUUGAAGAUGAAGAAAAAGUUUAAAAGAAAUUCUGACAGAUGACAUCAGAAGACACCUAUUUAGAAUGUUACAUUUAUGAUGGGAAUGAAUGAACAUUAUCUUAGACUUGCAGUUGUACUGCCAGAAUUAUCUACAGCACUGGUGUAAAAGAAGGGUCUGCAAACUUUUUCUGUAAAGGGCCGGUUUAUAAAUAUUUUAGACUUUGCAGGCUAUAAUAUAUGGUUCACACAUGAGAACAAGAAUAGAGUCAUCAUGUAUUCUUUGUUAUUUGCUUUUAACAACCUUUAAAAAAUAUUAAAACGAUUCUUAGCUCAGAGCCAUACAAAAGUAGGCUGGAUUCAGUCCAUGGACCAUAGAUUGCUGUCCCCCUCGACGGACUUAUAAUGUUUCAGGUGGCUGGCUUGAACAUGAGUCUGCUGUGCUAUCUACAUAAAUGUCUAAGUUGUAUAAAGUCCACUUUCCCUUCACGUUUUUUGGCUGACCUGAAAAGAGGUAACUUAGUUUUUGGUCACUUGUUCUCCUAAAAAUGCUAUCCCUAACCAUAUAUUUAUAUUUCGUUUUAAAAACACCCAUGAUGUGGCACAGUAAACAAACCCUGUUAUGCUGUAUUAUUAUGAGGAGAUUCUUCAUUGUUUUCUUUCCUUCUCAAAGGUUGAAAAAAUGCUUUUAAUUUUUCACAGCCGAGAAACAGUGCAGCAGUAUAUGUGCACACAGUAAGUACACAAAUUUGAGCAACAGUAAGUGCACAAAUUCUGUAGUUUGCCGUAUCAUCCAGGAAAACCUGAGGGAAAAAAAUUAUAGCAAUUAACUGGGCAUUGUAGAGUAUCCUAAAUAUGUUAUCAAGUAUUUAGAGUUCUAUAUUUUAAAGAUAUAUGUGUUCAUGUAUUUUCUGAAAUUGCUUUCAUAGAAAUUUUCCCACUGAUAGUUGAUUUUUGAGGCAUCUAAUAUUUACAUAUUUGCCUUCUGAACUUUGUUUUGACCUGUAUCCUUUAUUUACAUUGGGUUUUUCUUUCGUAGUUUUGGUUUUUCACUCCUGUCCAGUCUAUUUAUUAUUCAAAUAGGAAAAAUUACUUUACAGGUUGUUUUACUGUAGCUUAUAAUGAUACUGUAGUUAUUCCAGUUACUAGUUUACUGUCAGAGGGCUGCCUUUUUCAGAUAAAUAUUGACAUAAUAACUGAAGUUAUUUUUAUAAGAAAAUCAAGUAUAUAAAUCUAGGAAAGGGAUCUUCUAGUUUCUGUGUUGUUUAGACUCAAAGAAUCACAAAUUUGUCAGUAACAUGUAGUUGUUUAGUUAUAAUUCAGAGUGUACAGAAUGGUAAAAAUUCCAAUCAGUCAAAAGAGGUCAAUGAAUUAAAAGGCUUGCAACUUUUUCAAAAACCUGUUAGAAUAUGC
rnacentral:lncRNA from 1 species